CCCGCAGGCGGCGUACCAAGUUGGACGUGAAAGCUCCUGGCUUAACCGGGAGAGGCCGUUCAAAACUGGUGCACUGGAGGACAGCAGAGGAGCAUGGAAUUCCGGGUGGAGUGGUGAAAUGCGUAGAUAUCCGGAGGAACACCAGAGGCGAAGGCGAUGCUCUGGGCUGGACCUGACGCUGAGGGGCGAAAGCGUGGGUAGCGAACG
rnacentral:rRNA from 1 species